AUACAUAGGUAAUUGUAUUGAAUUAAAUCAAUAAAAUGCUUAAAAAAAGAAGGUAAUUUUAUUUUGAGCAAAAAUUUUGGCAGAUCUAUCUAUCUCAUAUGUGUCUUUCCUUUCAUGUCUGUCUUUACAGACACAUAGUAUCCUAAUAUUUAUUCAUUGAUAUAUAAAAAAGUAUUUAUACCAAGAAAAUAUUUGCCCCGUCUAAUCUUUGCAUUAUUAAAUAUUCUUCUUGUUUGGUCUGAUGUUAUCGGUGGUAGUUACAUAUAUAAGAAUAUCUGUGAGGGAAAAUGUAAUCUUUGGAAUGCAAAAUAAUAAAACAGGCCAUCAUCCGCUGAGAUAACACUGAUACUCGUCACUUCUGAAUUUAGUUCGAUUAAAGGAAUAAUAAGAGUCAGCUGCUUGAAGAUUUUCCUUAACAGUUAUUCCCACUCAAAAUAAAUCAAACAUACCUACCACAUUACAUCUCGCCUAAAGAAGGGGCCUGAGUUGCCUCGAAAGCCUGCAUAUUGUAAUCAUUCUAGUUAGCCAAUAAGAGGUCAUUUUGCUUGACUUCUCACUACCACAGCACUAAAAGAGUGUAGAUGUUAGCACACUGAUACUAAAAAUACAUCUUUCCACAAUUUAAAAAAAAUAUUCCUGAAAACUGAAAGAGUCACAGUUCUACUUCUAAGGCUCUUUUUCCUGCACACUCUUUUUCUAGCAGCCAAUACCAUGCUACCUGAUGGAGUCGAUGCUGAACGAAGGGUUAACAGGUAGUUUGGUUUCAGCCACAAUCUUUUGUUUUUUUUUUCCAUUCUGUCAUGGUAUGUAAAACAUGAGAUACCAGGCAGACACGCUUCUCUUCUGUUUGUGGAGUCCCAAAUUCCUCUGAAUGGGCACUCAACUCAACUAACCUAUAACUGAAAAUAAAAUCAAACGUGCUUGAUUUUUUUUGGACAGAGUCAGAGACCCCCGUGACCCUGUAGUUAGGAUAUAGCCGGCUGGAUAAUGGAUGGAUAGAUGGAGUCAGAGACUAGUUGUAGUGAGUUGCUGGGUUUGUCACAAUAGGUGACAUCAUGAGAGUGUGCUACCAUCUGACUCCGAUUCGCCAAAAGAUUAUGUAAACGAAGGCUACGGCCAAAAAUUGCUGGAAAUGUUGUCUAAUGUGAGUCGCUGCUCAUCUAUUUAUUGUUAUCUGCCCUCCUUUUCAAUAAGAGGAUCACUCUGAGGUACAAUUCCACUUGGCAACACUGGAUAUGAAGCAGGAGCCAUUCCCAAAUGGGACAGCAGCACCUUACAGGGCACAUUCAGUCACACAGCUUUAGUGUCGGACCAUUAAGACCCCCCAGUUAAUAUAACGUGUAAUAUAUCUGUGAGAGAAAGAGUCCUCUUGUUUUCAGAUCUGAAUAAAGACAGGCUUAUAGGAUUAUUAUUGUCACAUACACAGAGUACAGUUACAUUUUUACUUACACGUGAUAAUCAAAAUACCAAACGUUACCACUCUCUGACACAAUAAUUAGUGAGUAGCAUAAGUAAUACUAAUAAAAUACAUCACUGAGGAGAGGCAAAGUAGAUAGAUAGAUAGAUAGAUAGAUAGAUAGAUAGAUAGAUAGAUAGAUAGAUAGAUAGAUAGAUAGAUAGAUAGAUAGAUAGAUAGAUAGAUAGAUAGAUAGAUACUUUAUUAAUUAUUCCACUUGCCUAGCUGGAGAACUGAUUGAGUGAGUCACGUUGUACAAGCAUUUCACAAACCUCUGCACCCUGAGUGGAGACUAGCGAAUAUUAUCUCAUUAAAUAUAAAAGAUGGUCAGGCUGAUCCAGAUAACUAUAGCCCAAGUAAGAGUAACGUGCAACACAAAUAAAUUAACAGAAGGAAUUAUUAAGUAAAAGAUGGAGUAGCACAUGUUUAGAAAAGGAGUGUAAGUAAAAAAAUAUGGGAUCAGAAGAGGAAGGUUGUGUUUCAGUAAUACGCUGGAGUUUGAUGGGGAAGCAACAAAGGCAGACGAUUAGAGUGGUGCGUUAUAAUAUUAUUUAUUUUGAGUAUUAGAAAGCUUUUGAUUAAGGUGCCACAUGAGAGGUUAGUCAUCAAACUAGAAGAAGUGUGGUGUGUAGGUGGGUAUAAAAUUGGCUCAAACAUGGGAAAGCAAAGGGUAAUCGUGAAUUAGGUGAUGUUAUAAGUAACUAGCCGUCCCCCACAGCUUCGCCCGCGUAUUAGUGAAACAGGACAGUGAGGAAGGCCCUGCCCGGCUCCCAAAUCCUGACGUCACUCCUCCCCCUCCCCUCGGCCCGCAGCCUCACUCUCGGAUUAGCGCACAUACAUCGCUCCUGCAAGCAAACUAUGAUUCUUAGCGCAAUGAGAGAAGUCGCAAAAUCAACCGGAAUGUUCAAGCAAAUUCUAGAAAAAAAAAAACAAUCUAAAUCCGUUAAGUAGUUCUGUCGUUCGUUAACUAAGCGAAGUUAGGGUUACGCCCCGAGGGUGGUGCAUGAGUGAGGAGGGCCCCGCACCCCUCACCGCAGCCCAAUGAGUCUCUCUUGGAUUUGCACUAAUGAAUCAGUACCGUAAGUGAACUAUGAUACUUAGCGUGAUGAGAAAGUCAUAAAGUCAACGGAGUGUUCGAGCAAAUUAUAGAAAAAAAAAAAAGAUCGAAAUCCUUUAAGUAGUUCUGUUGUUCGCUAACUAAGCGGAGUGAAGGUUACGCCCUGAGGCAGACACGUGAAUGAGGAGGGCCCCUCACCCCUCAACGAAGCCCAAUGAGUCUCUCUCGGAUUCGCGCUAAUAAAUCAGUACUGCAAGUGAACUAUGAUAGCGCGAAGAGAAAGUCGCAAAAUCAACGGAGUGUUCAAGCAAAUUAUAGAAAAAACAGAUACCAACAGGUCUAAAAAAAGUAUAAGAAAUUUCGUAGUUGGACCACAAAAUGUUUAAAACCGUUUCUUAGCGAGCACCUAUGGGCCAAGGGUAACCUACAUUCCAAAUUUCAAGUCCCAAGUCCUCAUGAUUCGAGAGAUUUCGUGAUGAGUGAGUCAGUGGUAUUUGGCUUUUAUAUAUAUAAGAUAUCCAGACGUGGUCAGUGUUGUGGCCGUUACUCAUUUUAAUAUACAUAAAUGAUCUGGACAAGAAUAAGAUGGUGAAGUUUGCAGAUGAUACCAAACUAGGUGGAAAAUGCAGAAAGAGCUCAUUUGUUACAGAGGGAUUUGGACAGCAUAUAUGUGGCUUUGUGGCUGAUGAAAUUUAAUGUCAGUAAAUGUAAAAGAUUACAUGAAAGAUGUAGAAAUGUUAUAGAAAGUACCUGGAAGGCAUAGUGGACUCUUCACUAUCUACUUCCACUGGACAGAAGUGAUCAAGAUGGCAAACAGGAUUUUCUUAUUUUUAAACAUCUACGUGUGGAAGUGUGUGUGUCUGUUUGUCCAGCCCGGAAGUGCGAACCUACAGCAUGAAGCGUGAAAAGAGAAACUCACUUAGCUGCUAAUACACAAGCGAAUCGAGAACAUUCGGCAAAACAAAACCUCUGAAGAAAGAGAAAUUCGCUUAGCUGCUGAUAGACAGAAAAGGCGAGUACGUUAGCACAAUGAAAAAAGAGAACCUUGGUUUGCUGCUAAUACACAAGUGAGGUGAGCAGAUUGACAAAAUGAAACCUCCGAGGAGAGAGAAACUCGCUUAGCCGCCGAUAGAGAACGGAGUCGAGCAUUUCAACAAAACGAAACUGCCGAUAAAAGAGAACCUGCUUUGCCGCUAAUGCACAACCGAUGUGAUUGAUUGAUUGAAGUGCUGGAAUCCAUUGUUUCUAGUACCCUGGGCUAUAUACAGCACAGCCUUACACAGCUAGUGUUUUAUCACAAAGUGUGGAGAGCAAGUUAAAGGAGGUUCAGCUCAGGCUUUAUAACACACUGGUGAGGCCUCACCUGGAGUACUGUGUACAGUUUAUGGUUUCCAUAUUACAAAAUAGACAUAGCAGCACUAGAAAAGGUCCAGAGGAGAGCAACCAGGCUGAUUUUACAGGGGAUACGUUAUGUAGAGACGCUGGAGGAACUGAACCUUUUGAGUGUGAGAAAAAUGGAGAUUAACUGUGAUGUGGCAGAAGUGUUUAAAAUUAUGAAAGGAAUUAGUACCGUCAAUCCCAGCUGUUACUUUACAAUACAUUAUGCAACAAGAACAAGGGGACACGGUGGGAAACCUGUCAAGAUUUCAUGCAAAUGUAAGACAGUUUUUCUUAACGCAAAGAGGCACAACAGUGGGAAUAAAUGGUGUUCAUGUGGUGGAGAGAGUAGGACUUUAGGGAGCUUCAAAUCUCGACUUGAUGUUAUUUUGGACAAACUUGGUGAAUGGGAUAGGUGAGCUGGUUGGGCUGAAUGGCCCGUUCACAUGACGCCUUUUCUAAUGUUUUAAAAACCCAGAUUGGUGAUACACUGUAUUAUGAUAUUCUGAUUGUGACCCGACUACAAUUAUGAAACAUCAGUAGAGGCUGUCUUGUAAAUUAUGACACUUUACCUGCUGUACCAAUGUUAUGUAUCUGUUUUUCAUGGUGUUGUAUGCUUUAAUUUGUUCUGUAACUUUUUGGAAAAAUUCUUGACCAAGAUAAAGUGCAGCGCAUGAUUGAACACAGGGGCCGAAUCAUUGGGGUCAAUCAAACAUCUACAGAACCAGAUAUGUUCAGGCGUCCUUCGAAAGCAGUGGUUCUCAACCUUUUCUAUGACCCACACCCCAAGAAAAUUUUUAUGUUUGCAUGCCCUACAAAAGGUAUAUCACAUUUGAAGAUGAAGAAGUCACAUUUCUCAUUUUUGAGCCACUCAGAAAUUGAACCACAUGCAGUAUUUUGGGUGCACAAACUGAACUAAAAAAAAGCCUUUAAAUUUAAAUAUAAACUGAGCAAUUUAUCUUUAGAAUUCUCAAUAAUCUUGAAAAAUGUGUCCCCUGUGAAGCUUUGACACUCGAUUGAUGAUCCUGGGGUCGAAGCAUCAAGUGCUGAGAAGAAAUGACACACGAUCAAUGAUCCAGAAUUUUAGGGAAUUGAAGACCCUGUUGAUGCAGUACCAGUGCACCUCUAAGCUUUGCUCCCCCAGUAACACCUGCACUGCAGUUCAAAAACAGAUAUGCCACACAGCUCAAAUUGCCCCAUUUCUGCCAGGACCACCAGUGAGAGAGAUUGGCUGACUGUAAGCAGCAGGAGUUGUCUCCAUUUCAGUCCCCCUUAGCAAAAAAUGUCAAUCAAACCUCAAAAUCAGUGAUGUUUCAUGAUCAGGGCUGGCACAGAAAUCAUUACUAGACCUCAUUCUUCUUUAUGGGUCAUUGCAAGAUCCAAAAUCAAUUUUCCUAAAAAAAAAAAAAAAAAAAAGUUAUUCGCCUUUACAAACAAUACACCAGUAGCGAGGAGCCCGCGAGAACGUGGAUUUCUGAGACUCAUUCACAGGUGACAACAGUGCAUGCAAUGCUUGAUUCUUUUCAUAUUGUAGAACAGGAGCACUGAGUAAUAAAUAACCUACAAAUGAUGGCACACUGCAAGACACCGAUAGAUAGAUAGAUAGAUAGAUAGAUAGAUAGAUAGAUAGAUAGAUAGAUAGAUAGAUAGAUAGAUAGAUAGAUAGAUAGAUAGAUAGAUAGAUAGAUAGAUAGAUAGAUAGAUAGAUGUUAAUUUUGGUAUAGUAGGCAGGAUUAGAUAGAUAGAUAGAUAGAUAGAUAGAUAGAUAGAUAGAUAGAUAGAUAGAUAGAUAGAUAGAUAGAUGUUAAUUUUGGUAUAGUAGGCAGGAUUAGAUAGAUAGAUAGAUAGAUAGAUAGAUAGAUAGAUAGAUAGAUAGAUAGAUAGAUAGAUAGAUAGAUAGAUAGAUGUUAAUUUUGGUAUAGUAGGCAGGAUUAGAUAGAUAGAUAGAUAGAUAGAUAGAUAGAUAGAUAGAUAGAUAGAUAGAUAGAUAGAUAGAUAGAUAGAUAGAUAGAUAGAUAGAUAGAUAGAUAGAUAGAUAGAUGUUAAUUUUGGUAUAGUAGGCAGGAUUAGAUAGAUAGAUAGAUAGAUAGAUAGAUAGAUAGAUAGAUAGAUAGAUAGAUAGAUAGAUAGAUAGAUAGAUAGAUAGAUAGAUAGAUAGAUCGAUAGAUAGAUAGAUAGAUAGAUAGAUAGAUAGAUAGAUAGAUAGAUAGAUAGAUAGAUAGAUAGAUAGAUAGAUAGAUAGAUAGAUGUUAAUUUUGGUAUAGUAGGCAGGAUUAGAUAGAUAGAUAGAUAGAUAGAUAGAUAGAUAGAUAGAUAGAUAGAUAGAUAGAUAGAUAGAUAGAUAGAUAGAUAGAUGUUAAUUUUGGUAUAGUAGGCAGGAUAAGAUAGAUAGACGGCCGGACAGACAGACAGACAGGUGAAUAUUGUACACGCUGCUCUUGAUUCUUUUCAUAUUCUAACGUAGAAGCACUAGCUAAUAAAUGACCUACAAAUGGUGGCACACAGCAAUGCACUGAUUGCACCUUGAUAAAGUCACACACCGCACCUCACUCGAUUCUGGCAAAUCCCUGCACAGCCUUCGUCUUGGCCACACCCCCUGAAAUGUCAUUUUCAAACCCUUUGGGAGUGUAGGCACGCCAGGUUGGGAACCUUUGCUCUAGAAAAGUUUGAUUGAAUUGUGAAUGACUUGACUCAUCCUCUGCACUACAAGUUCCGAAAACAAUGGAAUCAAACAAUGCAGAAUAAAAGCAAAGCGAUUUAAUAAUUUGUACGUUUAGCUGUUAAUCUAUUUAAUGGUGAUGCGUAGAUUAAAGAGGACUGAAUUGAACAUUUUGUGUUUUCCUUUUUCCUUUCAUUUGUAAAUGAAUUCCUUACUUUGCCAGAUAUUUUUUGUUAUUCAGUUGUGAUGCACAUGACCAAUGGAAACUUCCAUUCAGGGAUAAUAACGUUUACUUUGACCUUCUAUCAAUAUCGAUGUUUCAGUAUUGUAUAAUACGCCUGUCACCUUUCUUUUUUUUGUCUUUGUUUUUUUUUCUUUUUUGUAUUUCUCCAUAAGUCAUUCUAAAUGUGUUCAUGUAAACUUCUAAAGAUUCACACGGAUUCACAUUGCAAUGAUCGGAUAUCUUGCAGCCAGCCCAGGUGUCUUAGCCCUGCUAUGAUUUACCCGGAGAGUCAUACACCACAGUCCUGCUCUUUUCCAUUGUUAUCUGGUUUUUGAUGUUCUUGCUAGUUUAUUGUACAAUUUGUUUUUAAUGAUGUAAGAUAAUUUUUACUUGUGUUGUAAAUAAAUAUUUUCUCUGAUUAUGUAAUGAA